UACAGAGAUGGCAAGCGUUGUUCGGAAUUACUGGGCGUAAAGGGCGCAAAGGCGGUCUUGUAAGUCCCGUGUGAAAGCCCCCGGCUCAACUGGGGAAUGGCACGGGAAACUGCGAGGCUUGAGUUCGGGAGAGGGAAGCGGAAUUCCGGGUGUAGCGGUGAAAUGCGUAGAUAUCCGGAGGAACACCGGUGGCGAAGGCGGCUUCCUGGACCGACACUGACGCUGAGGAGCGAAAGCUAGGGGAGCAAACGGG
rnacentral:rRNA from 1 species